CUGUAACUCGUCCAGCCUCAUACAGUUUUUAACACCUUAAUAAGGAACAUUACCACAACAUUCCUGUGCUAAGCAGAAGUUGAAGAAUUCCAUGAGGAAUACAUCACGUGUUGUGUGAGGCCUAAUUUAACUUUUCACAUGCCUUUCAAAUUUUCAAAGUACAAGGAUGCUAAUGUCGGACUGGGUCUGAUUUUAUUUCAUGAAGUCUCACAGUCACAAACUCACCAUGGAAUUGAAUAGAAAAAUCUUGCAAAAGAUGAAAAACUGUGUGAAGUCCAGAUAAACGAUUUCUGGCCAGAGGGCACAGAAGACUUUCAGUUCAGCGAAAAGCAAAAGAGCUGCUAAGCUGUGUGAAUCUAAACAUGAAGCUUUGGGACAUUACAGAGUCUUGAUGCUCCCGCUUUCACCAGGCUGGAGGGAGGCUGUCACACUGCCUGCUCCCUGGCACAAGGAUAUCUUGACAAGACAAGCUCUGCUUGUGGUAACAGCGAGAAACCCCCAGGGGCAGGAAAUCUGUGUAACAGCCCAGCCCUUAAAGAGUGAAUCACCCAGGUGAAAAUAUUGUCUGAAAAAAAAGACAGACAGAAGAGACCUGACUUCUACCAUUGGAUUAUGAAGACAUCUGAAAUAAGAAUUUU